rnacentral:rRNA from 1 species
UACGUAGGGGGCAAGCGUUGUCCGGAAUCAUUGGGCGUAAAGCGCGUGUAGGCGGCUCGAUAAGUCUGCUGUGAAAGUCCAGGGCUCAACCCUGGAAUGCCGGUGGAAACUGUCGAGCUAGAGUCCGGAAGAGGCGAGUGGAAUUCCUGGUGUAGCGGUGGAAUGCGCAGAUAUCAGGAGGAACACCAAUAGCGAAGGCAGCUCGCUGGGACGGUACUGACGCUAAGGCGCGAAAGCGUGGGGAGCGAACAGG